rnacentral:rRNA from 1 species
UACGUAGGGUGCAAGCGUUGUCCGGAAUUAUUGGGCGUAAAGAGCUUGUAGGCGGUUUGUCGCGUCUGCUGUGAAAUUUCGGGGCUCAACCCCGAACUUGCAGUGGGUACGGGCAGACUAGAGUGUGGUAGGGGAGACUGGAAUUCCUGGUGUAGCGGUGAAAUGCGCAGAUAUCGGGAGGAACACCCGUAGCGAAGGCGGCACUCUGGGCCGGAACUGACGCUGAGGAGCGAAAGCGUGGGGAGCAAACAGG